AAAAGUGAAAGACGGUCUUGCUGUCACUUAUAGAUGGAUCCGCGCUGCAUUAGCUAGUUGGUAAGGUAACGGCUUACCAAGGCAACGAUGCAUAGCCGACCUGAGAGGGUGAUCGGCCACACUGGAACUGAGACACGGUCCAGACUCCUACGGGAGGCAGCAGUAGGGAAUCUUCCGCAAUGGGCGAAAGCCUGACGGAGCAACGCCGCGUGAGUGAUGAAGGUCUUCGGAUCGUAAAACUCUGUUAUUAGGGAAGAACAUAUGUGUAAGUAACUGUGCACAUCUUGACGGUACCUAAUCAGAAAGCCACGGCUAACUACGUGCCAGCAGCCGCGGUAAUACGUAGGUGGCAAGCGUUAUCCGGAAUUAUUGGGCGUAAAGCGCGCGUAGGCGGUUUUUUAAGUCUGAUGUGAAAGCCCACGGCUCAACCGUGGAGGGUCAUUGGAAACUGGAAAACUUGAGUGCAGAAGAGGAAAGUGGAAUUCCAUGUGUAGCGGUGAAAUGCGCAGAGAUAUGGAGGAACACCAGUGGCGAAGGCGACUUUCUGGUCUGUAACUGACGCUGAUGUGCGAAAGCGUGGGGAUCAAACAGGAUUAGAUACCCUGGUAGUCCACGCCGUAAACGAUGAGUGCUAAGUGUUAGGGGGUUUCCGCCCCUUAGUGCUGCAGCUAACGCAUUAAGCACUCCGCCUGGGGAGUACGACCGCAAGGUUGAAACUCAAAGG
rnacentral:rRNA from 1 species